UACGUAGGUGACAAGCGUUGUCCGGAUUUACUGGGCGUAAAGAGCGCGCAGGCGGUCGUUCAAGUCGAGUGUGAAAGCCCCCGGCUCAACUGGGGAGGGUCAUUCGAUACUGAUCGACUCGAAGGCAGGAGAGGGAAGUGGAAUUCCCGGUGUAGUGGUGAAAUGCGUAGAUAUCAGGAGUAACACCGGUGGCGAAGGCGGGUCUCUGGGCAACAACUGACGCUGAGGAGCGAAAGCGUGGGGAGCGAACAGG
rnacentral:rRNA from 1 species